GAUGAACGCUGGCGGCGUGCCUAAUACAUGCAAGUCGAGCGAACAGAUGAGGAGCUUGCUCCUCUGACGUUAGCGGCGGACGGGUGAGUAACACGUGUAUAACCUCCCUAUAAGACUGGUAUAACUUCGGGAAACCGGCGCUAAUACCGGAUAAUAUAUUGAACCGCAUGGUUCAAUAGUGAAAGACGGUUUUGCUGUCACUUAUCGAUGCUUCCGCGCCGCAUUAGCUAGUUGGUACGGUAACGGCUUACCAAGGCAACGAUGCGUAGCCGACGUGAGAGAGGGAUCGCCGACCCUGGAGGUGAGACACGGUCAAGACGCCUGAGGGAGGCAGCAGAAGGGAAUGGGACGCAAUGGGCGAAAGCAUGACGGAGCAAGGGGGCGUGAGUGAUGAAGGUGUUCGGAUCGUAAAACUCGGUUAUUAGGGAAAAACAAAUGUGGAAGGAAAUAUGCAGGGAUUGACGGUAACGAAUCAGAAAGCCACGGCUAACUACGUG
rnacentral:rRNA from 1 species